rnacentral:rRNA from 1 species
UACAUGGGGUGCAAACGUUGCUCGGAAUUAUUGGGCGUAAAGCGCGCGCAGGCGGUUUCUUAAGUCUGAUGUGAAAGCCCACGGCUCAACCGUGGAGGGUCAUUGGAAACUGGGGAACUUGAGUGCAGAAGAGAAAAGCGGAAUUCCACGUGUAGCGGUGAAAUGCGUAGAGAUGUGGAAGAACACCCGUGGCUAAGGCGGCUCUCUAGUACGGCGACUGACGCUGAGACGCGAAAGCGUGGGGAGCGAACAGG